ACAUCGGUAGCACAGUGGUUAGUGCAGUCUGCCGGAAACAGAAAGAGCCGGGUUCAAUUCCCGUCCGAUGUC
rnacentral:tRNA from 1 species